CACUCCUGCGGGAGGCAGCAGUGGGGAAUUUUGGACAAUGGGCGAAAGCCUGAUCCAGCAAUGCCGCGUGAGUGAAGAAGGCCUUCGGGUUGUAAAGCUCUUUUGUCAGGGAAGAAACGGUGAAAGCUAAUAUCUUUUGCUAAUGACGGUACCUGAAGAAUAAGCACCGGCUAACUACGUGCCAGCAGCCGCGGUAAUACGUAGGGUGCAAGCGUUAAUCGGAAUUACUGGGCGUAAAGCGUGCGCAGGCGGUUUUGUAAGUCUGAUGUGAAAUCCCCGGGCUCAACCUGGGAAUUGCAUUGGGGACUGCAAGGCUAGAAUCUGGCAGAGGGGGGUAGAAUUCCACGUGUAGCAGUGAAAUGCGUAGAUAUGUGGAGGAACACCGAUGGCGAAGGCAGCCCCCUGGGUCAAGAUUGACGCUCAUGCACGAAAGCGUGGGGAGCAAACAGGAUUAGAUACCCGGGUAGUCCCA
rnacentral:rRNA from 1 species